CCUACGGGAGGCAGCAGUGAGGAAUAUUGGUCAAUGGGCGCGAGCCUGAACCAGCCAAGUAGCGUGAAGGAUGACUGCCCAACGGGUUGUAAACCUCUUUUAUCAGGGAAUAAAGUGAGGCACGUGUGCCUUUUUGUAUGUACUUUAUGAAUAAGGAUCGGCUAACUCCGUGCCAGCAGCCGCGGUAAUACGGAGGAUCCGAGCGUUAUCCGGAUUUAUUGGGUUUAAAGGGUGCGUAGUUGGGCUGUUCAGUCAGUUGUGAAAGUCUGCGGCGCAACCCUCACAUUGCAAUUGAAACUGGCAGUCUUGAGUACAGGUGAGGUAGGCGGAAUGCGUGGUGUAGCGGUGAAAUGCUUAGAUAUCACGAAGAACUCCGAUUGCGAAGGCAGCUUACUAAACUGCCACUGACAUUGAUGCUCGAAAGUGUGGGUAUCAAACAGGAUUAGAUACCCUUGUAGUC
rnacentral:rRNA from 1 species